rnacentral:rRNA from 1 species
GUCCACGCCGUAAACGUUGGGCACUAGGUGUGGGACUCUAUCGACGGGUUCCGUGCCGUAGCUAACGCAUUAAGUGCCCCGCCUGGGGAGUACGGCCGCAAGGCUAAAACUCAAAGGAAUUGACGGGGCCCGCACAAGCGGCGGAGCGUGUGGCUUAAUUCGAUGCAACGCGAAGAACCUUACCUGGGCUUGACAUGUACGGAAAAGCCGGUGAAAGCCGGUGUGCUUCGGCGUCGUACACAGGUGGUGCAUGGCUGUCGU